rnacentral:rRNA from 1 species
GCUGCCUGAAAAAAAAAAUUUUUCGUGGGGGAUAACGUAGGGAAACUUACGCUAAUACCGCAUACGACCUACGGGUGAAAGCAGGGGAUCUUCGGACCUUGCGCGAUUGAAUGAGCCGAUGUCGGAUUAGCUAGUUGGCGGGGUAAAGGCCCACCAAGGCGACGAUCCGUAGCUGGUCUGAGAGGAUGAUCAGACACACUGGAACUGAGACACGGUCCAGACUCCUACGGGAGGCAGCAGUGGGGAAUAUUGGACAAUGGGCGCAAGCCUGAUCCAGCCAUACCGUGUUGGUGAAGAAGGCGGCCAGCUCCGAAAGCUCCACGUAAGG